UCACUGCUGAGGAGUCCCACAAUGGGACGAAACAUCUGUCCAGUGC
rnacentral:hammerhead_ribozyme from 1 species